GAAAAGCACUCUGAAGAGAGAGUCAAAAGACCGUGAAACCGCUCAGAGUAUAAGCCAAUGGAGCUUGGAAGGCUUCCGCAGGUGAUGUCCAUCAUACGUGGUGUUCUUAAGACCUUGAGUGUGGCUCGUCAGGCGUAGCAUUGAGUUUGCCAGGUUUAGCUGUCGUGCGGGGGGUUCGGCUGGGAGGACUUCGGCUUCGGCCGGAGGGCUCUUCUGGUCGUCCCCUUUUGAAUGGACGUUCAGAACCUCUUGUGUCUAAUGCGGUUAUGCCCACCACAGCACGUUGUGAGGUCACCCACAGGCUCAACUGCCGAUCGCGCAUCCAGGACGAUGGCAACGAUGCGUUGUUGAUGAUGGUGGCUCGAGAGAGACCACACACACACACGCGUGUCUAGUCCUGGGUCGGGCGGCGACCGAGAUAAACCUGGUACGAUCCUCUAGCGACGAGCUGCUUUCUGGCCAGACCGACGCCCAGGCGCUUCCACUGUGCCGGAAGCGUCAACCCCAGGCGGUGUGAACCCAGCUGCAUUAUGCAAGGUCUCUCAGCCGGGCGUUGGUCUGAGUGGUGUUAAGUCCAGCACCAUCGGUCACGUCUCGAAACACGGGCCAAGGAGUAUAGCAUGUGUGCAAGUCUAAGGGUCUCACAAAACCCGAAGGCGAAGUGAAAGCAAGACUGUGGCGGGGGAGCUACGGCGAACCCGCCGGCCUAGUGUGACGCGUGCGUCGCCUGGCUUUAACAGAGCUGAUCCUGUUUUCUCGGUUAAUUCUUGGUGCAGGCGCAAGCUCCGGGCUCACGUACAACACUGGUCACACGCCUCGCGUGUGUGGCUGUGUUGUGAGCACCGUGGAGCAUGCAUGCUAUGACCCGAAAGAUAGUGAACUAUGCCUGGCGAGGGCGAAGCCCCAGGAAACUGGGGUGGAGGCCCGUAGCCGUUGUGACGUGCAAAUCCAUGGUAUCAGCUGGGCAUAGGGGCGAAAGACCAAUCGAACUAUCUAGUAGCU
rnacentral:rRNA from 1 species